CCUACGGGAGGCUGCAGUGAGGAAUAUUGGUCAAUGGGCGGAAGCCUGAACCAGCCAAGUCGCGUGAAGGAUGACGGUCCUACGGGUUGUAAACUUCUUUUAUAGGGGAAUAAAGCGCGUUACGCGUAGCGUUCUGCACGUACCGUAAGAAUAAGCACCGGCUAAUUCCGUGCCAGCAGCCGCGGUAAUACGGAGGGUCCGGGCGUUAUCCGGAUUUAUUGGGUUAAAAGGGUGCGCAGGCGGAAGACCAAGCUGGCGGUAAAAUUGCGGGGCUCAACCGGGUCCUGCCGUGGAAACUGGGUUGCUUGAGUGAGUGAGAAGCAGGCGGAAUGCGUGGUGUAGCGGUGAAAUGCUUAGAUAUGACGAAGAACCCCGAUUGCGAAGGCAGCAUGCUGGAGCUGAACUGACGCUGAUGCACGAAAGCGUGGGUAUCGAACAGGAUUAGAUACCCGGGUAGUC
rnacentral:rRNA from 1 species